ACCUGCGGAAGGAUCAUUAUUGAAAACAAGGGUGUCCAAUUUAACUUGGAACCCAAACUUCUCAAUUCUAACUUUGUGCAUCUGUAUUAAUGGCGAGCAACUUCGGUUGUGAGCCUUCACUUACAAAACACUAGUCUAUGAAUGUAAAAUUUUUAUAACAAAUAAAAACUUUCAACAACGGAUCUCUUGGCUCUCGCAUCGAUGAAGAACGCAGCGAAAUGCGAUACGUAAUGUGAAUUGCAGAAUUCAGUGAAUCAUCGAAUCUUUGAACGCAUCUUGCGCUCUCUGGUAUUCCGGAGAGCAUGUCUGUUUGAGUGUCAUGAAUUCUUCAACCCAAUCUUUUCUUGUAAUCGAUUGGUGUUUGGAUUCUGAGCGUUGCUGGCUUUAUUGCUCAGCUCGUUCGUAAUACAUUAGCAUCCCUAAUACAAGUUUGGAUUGACUUGGCGUAAUAGACUAUUCGCUAAGGAUUCGGUGGAAACAUCGAGCCAACUUCAUUAAGGAAGCUCCUAAUUUAAAAGUCUACCUUUUGAUUAGAUCUCAAAUCAGGCAGGAUUACCCGCUGAACUUAAGCAUAUCAAUAA
rnacentral:rRNA from 1 species